rnacentral:rRNA from 1 species
GGGGGGGGGGGGGGGGGGGCGGGGGGGGGGGGGGGCGGGGGGAGGGGCGAGGGGGUGGCUCCUCUGGCGUUAGCGGCGGACGGGGGGGUAACGCGUGGCUAACCUACCUAUAAGACUGGGAUAACUUCGGGAAACCGGAGCUAAUACCUGAUAAUAUCUUUAACCGCAUGGUUCACUCGUGCAAGACGGUUUUGCUUUCACUUCUAGAUGGAUCCGCGCCGCAUUAGCUAGUUGGUAAGGUAACGGCUUACCAAGGCAACGAUGCGUAGCCGACCUGAGAGGGUGAGCGGCCACACUGGAACUGAGACACGGUCCAGACUCCUACGGGAGGCAGCAGUAGGGAAUCUUCCGCAAUGGGCGAAAGCUUGACGGAGCAACGCCGCGUGAGUGAUGAAGGUCUUCGGAUCGUAAAACUCUGUUAUUAGGGAAGAACAAAUGUGUAAGUAACUAUGCACGUCUUGACGGUACCUAAUCAGAAAGCCACGGCUAACUACGUG